GCCAGCGUAGCUCAGUUGGUAGAGCAGCGGUUUCGUAAACCGCAGGUCACCAGUUCAACUCUGGUCGCUGGCU
rfam:Candidate division TA06 bacterium DG_78 WOR1_52_54_4388, whole genome shotgun sequence.